rnacentral:rRNA from 1 species
UACGUAGGGUGCGAGCGUUAAUCGGAAUUACUGGGCGUAAAGCGUGCGCAGGCGGUGAUGUAAGACAGGUGUGAAAUCCCCGGGCUCAACCUGGGAAUGGCAUUUGGGACUGCAAGGCUGGAGUGCGGCAGAGGAGACUGGAAUUCCUGGUGUAGCAGUGAAAUGCGUAGAUAUCAGGAGGAACACCGAUGGCGAAGGCAGGUCUCUGGGCUGACACUGACGCUCAUGCACGAAAGCGUGGGGAGCAAACAGG